GCCCCGUCGUGCCGUGCUGCUGCUUAUGUCGGGAACGACUUGUGUAGAAUCUGAGCUUGUAGUGAAAAAAAAUAGAAAAAACGAUGUUGGGCCAUUGGAUGAGAGAUCAAUGGCACGGGUCUGGAUGGAGGGAUCUUCGCACAAAAUUUGCAAAGAGGUCCAACAUACAAGCAAAUUUGCACUCGGUGCCCUUCCUAGUCUGUACCAAAUCCUUACACACCGACGACACAGGAUCGAAAAUUUCUCGGCGGCGGCGGCGACGGCGACGACCAAGAUCCUGAGCCAAGCUGGGCGGGCUCGCGCAGCAAAGAUGCUGAUCCAUCUCCUCUCCGAUGGCUCCUAGGUCCUAGUCGUUUCGUCGCAGGUGGCGCAGUUUGAGGCAGAUUAGAUCGGAUUCCUCACCUCCUCCCCACUCUCAGGCUCCCAGAUCAGCUCGCGGCCGUCCUCCUCCACCCCCCACCCCCUCUCGCGAUUCAGCACUAGCUCAACGCUCGUGGAUCCUCGCCUCCUUCCCAGCCGGCCGCUCUCUGGUUCUGCGAACAAGCCGCCACGGUUCUUCGUUCUGCAGUUGCUGGAGUAGUAACAGCAGAAGAAUGAACAGCAGCUUGAGUAGAAUAGAAGCAGAUCCGUUCUGGUGAUGCUUAUGUUGGUUGGAUUCUUAUUUUAUCCAGAAGCAGCAUGUUGAUUAGUGCUAUGACUUAGUUAUGGUAUUGUGUAUUGCUACCAGAAGCAGCACGUGUACCGACUGUACAUAAACGCUAACCGAUUUCUAGCAUGAAGCAAUACACUAGCAAAUCUAGCUAUUCCGGCGAGAUGCACUAGUACAGGAAGUAGGCUGCUCUGGCUUCGUCGAUUCUUCAGCGGCAAGCCGACACGCACACAUGUGAAACACAAUGGCUAUUUUUUUCUCUCCAUGCAAAGAUACAUAUUCAGAUGCAUAUAUACAGUUGAUGUUUUUCUUCUUUGAUCUGUUCCUUAUUUCGACAGUGGCACAAGGCAUCACCAUGUCCAAUCACUCACACUUGUGACAGUUAUUGUUCCCACUACAGAGCUAAUUAUUGUUGUUUUUCUUUUGUCAAUUGCAUGCAAUCCUUUUUCCUCCUAUUGCGAUGAAUAGACUCAAAUAUGCCAUUGCAUGUUCUGCUAGGGGAUUCCUUGGGUUGGCAAUUCCUUUUUAAUGCUUACUGCUGAUCUUUCAUCCCCCAAAUUCUGACAUUUGUUAUUGGCUGGGUGCUCACUCCAGUAUUUCUAUGCACAUGAAUAUUUUCUUGUCCUUCUGUUUAGCUUUUUGUACCAGAGUAAUUAAUUACAUUUCCCUAUAAUAGAAUGCUUCCCAUAAGCCAUGCCUUUGAUAUGGCCCAUGUGGCAGAAGUUUGACAUGGAAAAGAUGAUCCCCAGUCUAAAUUUGCAAUUCUCAUCUCAGGAUCCAGUAAUGGAGGGUAGCAGUGCGAUGUCUCCGCUAGGAGAGCCCUCAAUUCCAAUGAUCGCAGCAUGUGCACCAGCACUAUCAGGUGUGAGAAUAGCGGUACGAGGAAGUCAAGAUAUCCUGAUGUAUCUAACAUUAUGUUAAUCCCUUGUGUGAUGUUGGUUGAUAAAAAAAUUGUUUGCAGCCAUGGAAUCGGUCAACAGUGUUCAAAAUCAAGGAUGUGUGUAUGUGAUUUAGUACUAAUCCUUCAUCCAUGGCAUGAGCCUAUCUGGCAUCUUGUUCAUUUAUAUUUUCCCGUGCUGCUGUGGUUUUCUUAUUAUUACAAGGUAUAAUAUAAUGCAUGCCACCAAGUUUUGUUUAUAGCUAUCAAAUUUGAAUAAUAAUUUGCAUCUGCAGGGCAUUCAUAAAACUCCCUUUAAAUUGUUCAAUGCCACUUAUUUGUCGUUCUCAUUUGUGCUUUUAACUAACCUUGGAAUUAUAAUCCAUUUAUUGUAGGUCUAUAAUGAAAUAAUGAACUAUGCUGCAACAAAAAAUUUGUACUCUCUCUAUUAGACAUAUCCAACUAUCACAUGCCAUUUUAUUUUAUUUGGAAAAUCCCCUGUAGAAGCUGGAAAGCCAGCUUGACCUACAAAGUUAUCCUGAUUGGUUACAUAUGUAUUAAUAUGUUUGAGGUUCAACCUAAGUUUUGACAUAGUAUAAGUUAUGUUUCCUAGGUUGGAGUGCUGAAAGAAGCUGGACAUAUACAAUGAUUAUUUCUCUUCUCAAGAUAUGCUAUUUGGUAUAUGUUUUUGACUGACCCCUAUUUACUUGGUAUAUGUUUCUGACUGACCCCUAUUUACUUGGUGUGUUUACCUAGGUAGAUCGAACUGAUCAAGUGUCCAUGGAGGUUGUCAUCUCUCUCCCAGCAGGAAGCUCGAUUGCCAGGAAGCACUAACACGAGGCAAAAUGAUAGAUAUUUUCGUUCUUGUACCAGCAAGAUGCUUGUUGGGCGAUGAUAAUUUCAGUCUUUACCACUUGGUCUUGCCGGCCAUAUACUAAAAAUGAUCUGUAUGCCACAUGUACUCAAGUACUCAAAUGCUUGCUAAGCACUGAUAAUUCCAGUCCUUAAUUUGCUCUACUUCCAGUUCUACUAGCCUUUUGUGAUGUGUUCUCAUGUACUCGAGUACUGAAAUGCUUGCCGAGCAGCUAUCAAUCCUUAAAUUGCUAUAUUUCCAGUUUGA